AUCUCUGAGUUAGAAUAAACUGUUAAGACUUAAAACUUACUCAUUUUACCUUUUACCAUGGGGCUUGUAACCGUCACUUGUGUCUUGAGCAGUUAAAAGAUAGAACGGUCAAGUCAAGCGCCAUGUCUCUUAUUCUUGAUCAGCUAUAGCUCUGGGGUUUUUUGCAGAUUUUCAAAUAAAACUCAGAGAUUCCUUAUAUGACUCUCUCAGAUCUCUCUUUUGUGGUAUUUAUGGAUCCUUACCAAGGCAGUAAUGGUAUAUGCCUUCUCUCAAAGUAUGUGGUAUUUUUGGUAUGAGGCAUAGUGAUAUUGCCUUCUCUCUCACCCUACUCUAAUAAAGUUCUGAUAUCUGGAGCUCAUAGGUGGGAGACAGCUAAUACAUACUUACAAGACAUUUAUUGCAUAGUCAAACCAUGGAUCUAGAGAAACAAAUCAAUAAUCAAAUCAAGAUGUGCAUGUGUGGUGAAUGAAUGGUGUAUGGUGAUGAUGGUGAUAAUGAUGGUGAAAGUCUAAUUCUAUUUUUUAUGCUCUUUUGAGGGGAUACAUACAUUUCUUGUACUUUGAAGCUUUUUGGGGAGAAUGAGAUGCUCUAUAUUUUCUUUUUCUUUCCUCUCAGGUGGGUAUCUUGUACCCCUAAUUCUACUGUCGGACACUUGUCCAUUUUUACCUCUCGUCUCACUUUUUCUUUUCUUCGAGGUUCCGGGCACUUGCCCCUUUUUAUUUCCUCGUAUUAUUGUUAUUAUUUUUCUUUCUUUUUCUCUUUCUCUUUUUUUAGAGCACUCAUCUCCUGAAAGAAUGUAGCAAGUGGUAGUAACCAAAAUAACUGGAGCAUUUAUUUCACAGGGAAUAACAGGGAUAGGAAAAUAUUUUUUUUGCUAUUCUCUCCCGGAUUAGGAGUAGAAUAAUUUCGGGUGAAUGUGGAGAUGGAAAUGAGUGGAUGUAUGUGGAUGCGUACUUCCGGAGUAGAAGUAGCAAGUAUGAGUGAACGUGCAAGUGAAUCUUGAUUUUAACCACAUGACAAGCUCCUAAGGGUCUACACAGCUUGACCACACUCAAUGCUCAUAAGUAGUAAAAAGUAAAUAUGUGGCUCAAAGUCUAGCAAGCAUGUAUAUGUGGCUGUGGUAGGAUUUUAAACUCUCAUCAUAUAGGAACUCAUCAUGUAUUAUUUUAAAGAUUUUUUCAAAGAUAAAAUUCUCUAGAAUUCUAGCAUCUCUAGGAACAGAUAAACAGCAGCUCAACCUUCCCAUAUCAUAUCCGUUAACGACUUAGACUUUAGAUCAAGUACUCUUCCCACAAGUUUAGGUUUAGAGCAAGCUUUAAAUUAUAACAGUUAUGCCUAAACUUGAGAGAGAUUUCAAUUUUAAGAACUAGUCAAGGCAGAGCAACUAUUCAUCAUUUCCAUGAGAGAGCUUAUCAUGAGGGUUCAUAGCAAAUUUUAUUUAUUUAUUUAUUUAGCAAACUAAGCAAAGAUAUAUAUAUAAAAGCACAAAAUCUUUAUUUGGGUUUUUCAUAGUUUAUGUAUUUUAAUAUUCUAACAUAAUAUAAGUAUAAAGAUAGGUAGAAAUACUUAGCGAGAUAAAUGGGGGUGCUCUCCCCCAAGCUGAAUUUUGACGUAAUUUCUUCUGAUGUAGCUAGCAGGUGAUGGAGGUGUAUUUGAAAGUCGACAGCACCCCGACAGCGAUUAGGAUGUCCUCCGUCUGCUAGUCUUCUUUGAUCCUUGAAUUCUGUGGAGCUCAAAUAGACAACAAAGCUUUGUGGAACUGGUUAAGUGUUAGCAUAAAUAUCUAGCCUUUAUCAUGUUGAGCCUCCUCAAUAUUACUUAUUUAGCAGGAUCAUGCACUUAUUAUUUUUAUAUUUUUAUUGUA
rnacentral:lncRNA from 1 species